AAUGUUCAUCAUCAACAAGUAAACUUAAACAGUUAAUCAACACCCAAACUACCUAAAAUUCAACCUUAAAUUUUAAUUAAUAGGUAGACAUAAUUUUUACAAUUGUCCAUUUCUGGAUGAUUCAUUCCAAGCCCAAUAAACCAGCCGUUAAAUUGUCUUAUAAAAAUAAUUCUCCUUCAUAAUAAGCUCAAUUGAAGUACAGUAAACGUGAACGUAAAGUGCUCGAGUUAAAAGUUUCUGCAAGUUCUGUUGAAAAUGAAUAAAGUGGUUUCUUUUGUGCUCUUCUUGUCCAUCUUUCUGACUCCUGGCCAUACCAUACUCUUUAGAGUACCAAUACCUCAUCAGCUUGGGAACAUCAUCGACUUACUUGCACCAAUUCACAUAAGGAUUUCAACUGAUAAUCUCAAGCAUCCGCCAGUGAUUCGAUUCCCCUUGCUUGAUCUAAUCAGUAGAGGGCAAAUUUUCAACAAACCUGGUAUUCACCACCUGAUUCAUGGUCCUGGUAUUCCUUGGUAAAUCCCUAAUGACUUGGAAAUCAAAAUUUCCAACUAGUCAAUGUUUGUCACUUUUUCACAUAGUUGACAAUAUUUGCAAUCAGUUUAUAUUAAAUUUUUGAUUGCCUCAA